UUGAGGAAGAAAACAGAAUCAACGGAGCUGUUACAGAAUCCAAAUCUAUACAAAAACCGGGAGCAAACACAUCGUUUCCGAGACAGAAGGAUUAGAUCCAGGAGCCGCAGUGACAGCUGUGUGUGCGUCCCCGGAAAGUUCCCCCGAAGGGGACAGGGUCCACUCCCACGACCCCAGGAAGGGGCGUCCUGCCUGGAAGAGCCGAGACCUCCGGGCCGUAGCUUCCGGGACGCUAGCUUUGGGAGACCCACCAGGAGCGGCAGCCGAGUCCGCAGCGACCCGGAAGUGCAGUCUCUGCCGGAAGUGCUGCCACUGCCCUCCGCACGCCCCCUGACUCUCGGCCCUGACAGCCCCGUGGCCCCCUCCUCUCCUAGGUACGCACCUGAGUUCGCCGCGCCGGCCUCUCGGCCUAGGAAACCCGGAACCCGGCCUUGCGAGCAGGCGGGCAGCUGCGGGUGUCCAGCACUCCGAGAGGCCUCGGGUCUCAAGGUCCGGCGCCAGGCCCGCCGCGACCUGACCCAGAUAGCGGAGGCCCCGGGGGAGGAGUCCGCGGCCAGGACUGGCGCGAGUGUGCUUUUCUCACAGAAAGUAAGUGGCGCUCCGCCUGGCCCGCACCGGGUUUGAGGGUCAGAUGCCUCCUCCCCUGGACGCGUCCUCUCUGCAUCGCGGCACCUGGGCGCGGGUCCUCUCGCCCAUCAGUGCCGACCCCCGAACCCACUCCCACUCCGCUUCCAUCCAACUCCCAAGCUCCCCCUCUCCCCGAGAUGACCCUUCUGGCCGACUCCUCUUUAGGCACAGCCUUGAACUUUGUUCUGCAUGACAGUCAAACGCAGACGUCACAUUUUCCACCGAUUACUAACCAUGUCAACAGCCCCGUUUUCUUUACUUUAACUCAGGGUCCCUGUUAAUGAGAAAUAUACCCAGCUUCUUUGGCUUCGCUCCAGUCUUUUGGAUAAAAAUCGAUAGCCUCUCAGAUGACUGGGAUUCAAGUUUUUCUCCAGCUUCACUUUCUGGUUUGUAUAAUCAAAAUAAUUGUGGCAAAUAAACAGUGAAAAGCUGUUCACACAUCCGUCCUUUCUGUAUUUCUCUUACCUUGAACAGUGCCACUAGUUGUUUUAAACGUAGGCUUACAUAGAACUUAGUCUUGAUUACUAAAUUCCCCACCAAUGUACUGGACAACUAGAAAACACAAUACUUGUACAAUCCAUAUACUAUUUCUGAUGGAGAUUUGGAGAUUUUAUUGCUUAUGUGUUUUUUUUUAGUGUUAAGCAAGCUGCAUUGAAUAAGCCUAGCCAUUGUCAUUUUAUUGAAAGCAGAGACUAAUACUUAACCUCUGAGAUACAAAGGUAGUAAACAUUCCCUUCUGCAAAACCACUCUCAUUCCUAUUUUGUUACACUUUCCACUGUGGCAAUCAGUAUGGAGAUACCUCAGAGAACCAGGACUGGAAAUCCCAUUUGACCCAGCUAUUCCCCUGCUGGGGAUCUUCCCCAAAGAAUUAAAAGAAUCAUACCACAGUGAUAUAUGUACAUCCAUGUUCAUAGCAGCACAGUUUGUAAUAGCUAAAACUUGGAAGCAGCCCAGAUGCCCAUCAGCUGGAGACUGGAUCAAGAAGAUGUGUUUUUUUUAAUAAGAUAGAGUACUACUCAGCUGUAAAGAAUGAGAAGCUAGAGACAUUUAUAGCUAAAUGGAUGCACAUUGAGGCGGUACUCUUAAGUGAAAUAAAUCCACACGUGUAAAUACCAAAUAGUUUCUCUAGUCUGAGAAACUGAAAGUGUAAAUAAGGACUAAAAGGUACAAUGGAUAGUGUGAAAUGGGAAGAAAAGGGGCAAAGGGGAAGGGGAAGUGGGGGGGUAGGGGAAAGGAAAGAAGGGAAAGGAAAAAUUAUGAGAAAUGGAAAAAAUGGAAACAAAGUCUUUGUAAGUAGGGAAGGGGGGCUGAAGAGAGGGCAGGGAAUGGGGAGAAAAUAAGAACCAAGAUACAUUCAUGUACAGGUACAAGUUCCCAAUGAGAAAUGUAAAUGUAUUGUAUACCUAAAAUGUCCCAAUAAAAGAAUUUAAGAAAAAAAAAUAUCAUGCUAAUACUUGCUUCUUUUCACCAGAAUACGAUACAGAUCAGUCAUGCAAGGAAACAAUAGGUUUCUCCUUUAACAAG
rnacentral:lncRNA from 1 species